UACGUAGGGUGCAAGCGUUAAUCGGAAUUACUGGGCGUAAAGGGCGCGUAGGCGGGAUGGCAAGUCGGUCGUGAAAUCCUUCGGCUCAACCGAAGAACGUCGAUCGAUACUGCUGUUCUUGAGGGUUGCAGAGGAGACUGGAAUUCCCGGUGUAGCGGUGAAAUGUGUAGAGAUCGGGGGGAACACCGGUGGCGAAGGCGGGUCUCUGGGCAAUUCCUGACGCUGAGGCGCGAAAGCGUGGGGAGCAAACGGG
rnacentral:rRNA from 1 species